GCUCGCCUCUUCAGCUCAUAUAAGGCUGGCUCCCGUCUCCAGGCCCCAAGGAGCCACACCUGGACCAGACCCCAGGAAAGGCAAGGGCACUAGCUGGUGGGAGCCACCCCGCCAUGCUGAUGUCAGAGAAGCAAGAACUCUGGAGAAGCAGCCUCCUGGGACCAGAGGAGGGCCAGCAGCAGGCAGCCCGGAGACAGAACUCUCACCCACGCCUCUCCAAGCCUCCCGACAGAAGACAGAGGUCCCCCACAGCCAGAGACAUUUCCUGAAGACAUGGGGAACACAGAGGCAGAAACAGCCCAUCCACCCAGGAGCUGUCCCCCACACUGCCGGGAGCCGGCACCCAGAGCCGCCAGGUAAAACUGAGGCCACCUGGUUCAACAUCGCCUUUCAUAGAAGGGGAAGCAGCCACAGAAAGAAGGGCCUGGUAAGAAGUGGAACCUGGGACCCCCAAGCGGUGUCUCUCAUCCUGACUGGGGAUCCAGAGUAGGAGGGAGCCUUUGGUGGGGUAAGUGGAAUGGGGCAGUGGGGG
rnacentral:lncRNA from 1 species